rnacentral:rRNA from 1 species
UCCGUAGCUUGGUUGUUAAGUCUUCUGGGAAAUCCAUCGGCUCAACCGAUGGGAGUUCAGGAGAUACUGGCAACCUAGGGACCGGGAGAGGUGAGAGGUACUCCAGGGUAGGAGUGAAAUCCUGUAAUCCUUGGGGGACCACCUGUGGCGAAGGCGUCUCACUAGAACGGCUCCGACAGUGAGGGACGAAAGCUGGGGGGAGCAAAACC